GGUUAUUGUAUUUUUCGAGCUUUUGAAUAAUGGAUUUUGAUUUAUUAUAAUGGCGUUUGAUUUGUGCAUCAAUUUUGAAGUUCUGUAUUGUUUAUUGGCGAUCUGGAAGUAAUUAUACAUGUUGUAGAACGAAUUUGUGAAUAUCUGAUGUUUUCAGUCCUAUAAUUUCUGAGUUCGGCUGUUGUUUAAGAGGUGAAUAUAUGGUGUCUUAAUAUGAUGGGCUUUAGAAUUAUGAUUUGAAUUCAUGGGAUGGGGUUUAUGCCUUUUUGUGGUUUCGAUUUGUAGGGUCAUUAGAUUUGUGCAUCUUUGCCUUUUCCAUUAUUUUUGUUGAUUGAAGGUGGGAAAGCCUUCUGAUGCAUUUUUUUAAUAUUGGAUUCCAGAAAUCCUGCUAGGUUUGGAUUAGUCCUGGUUAUUCUUAAUGGUUUUAUAGGGAUUUCAAUGUUCUAGCAUCCUUUGUUUGGGGAACAGUAUAGUAAACAUGUUUGUGUUGUGCAUUAUUGUUAUUUCAAAAUUUUAUUUGAUGAAGAUUGAGGAGCUUAAAGCUGGUGCUUUUACUCGUUAUCUAAGGUUAAAUGAAUGAAUAAUUGCAUAUAUGUUUUAACGGCUUCAAGCUUUAAGCUUUUGCAAAUUACCAGGAAUAAAUGUUCGCAUGAAAUUCAUUUCUUUUGAUUCCAGUGAAAGUUGGAAACAGAUUCUUGCAUAUGAUGCAUUCUUACAACAUGCUUUACCAAAGAAAAUUACAGUUUUUGUACAAUGGGUUGGGUGGACAUGACAGGAGCAUAUACUUUCCUUCAAUCUAAUGGUCUUGUAAUGGUGUUCUUGAUCCCCGCAUAGAAUCUUGUAGAACAUAAAACUUUCUACCUUGCCAUUGUGUAUACCCCUUUGAGUGGAAAUUCAUUCAACCCUGGGGUUAUUGUGGCCUUCUAUUAUAAUUGCAAGCAUUCUACUGAUAAUUCUAUUUUUGUGUAAUUUGGGAUAUUUGUUUAUUUUCUUUGUUUCUUUUAAUCUUUUUUUGAAGACAACUUUGUAGAGAUCAUAAUUGGUUAUAUCAUGGUAUAAUGUAGAUUGUUGUGUUGGAAAAUCCUGCUGCUGAACAUUUAGCAUAUUAGUUCUAUGUUUAUAGUGAUGUUACUGGAGUUUACAUGUAGCUGUUAAUCUGUAAUCUAUGUGAAACAAAUGUGAGUAUAGUUACGUUUGUAUAUUUUUUAUUGGUUUAAGUAUAUUGUUUUAAUUUAGCAUGAACUAUCAGGUUAGUUUGUGUACUGCAAUCAUCCUGGUUGGGCUUUUGGUUUGUUUAUGUUUGUUGUUUUCUUAUUUGCAGAAAGAAUUUUGUGCACUCCGAAAAUUUCUUGGAUUACAGUGAACUCAAAAAAUUUUUUAAUGACUAGAAUUUAUGAAAAAUAUGAGAAUUUUAGGUGCAAACUAUGAUUACUGAUUCCAAAAACUUGUUGGCUUCUUACCAGGUUUUCUUGGAUUGUGGCAAAA
rnacentral:misc_RNA from 1 species